rnacentral:rRNA from 1 species
UACGAGGGGGGCAAGCGUUGUUCGGAAUUAUUGGGCGUAAAGGGUGCGUAGGCGGUUUGAUAAGUCACAUGUGAAAUCUUCGGGCUCAACCCGAAGUCUGCGUGCGAAACUGUCGGGCUUGAGUAUGGGAGAGGUGAGUGGAAUUUCCGGUGUAGCGGGUAGAAUGUCGUAGAUAGUGGAAGGAACACCUGUGGCGAAAGCGGACUCACUGGACCAUAACGUGACGCUGAUGCACGAAAGCUAGGGGAGCAAACAGG